AUGCUCACUUUAGCAGCACAUAUAAUAAAAUUGGAAUGAUAGAGAAGAUUAGCAUGGCCCCUGUGCAAGGAUGACAUGCAAAUUUGUGAAGCUUUCCAUAUUUUU
ensembl:snRNA U6 U6 spliceosomal RNA